CCAAUAGCGUAUAUUAAAGUUGUUGCAGUUAAAAAGCUCGUAGUUGAAUUUCGGGGUUCUACCGUUGGUCGGGCAAUAGUCUGUACUGGCGUGUGGAGUUUCUACCUUCUGGGGAACCAUCAUGUUAUUAAUUUAGCGUGGUGGGAAACCAGGACCUUUACCUUGAAAAAAUUAGAGUGUUCAAAGCAGGCUUACGUCUGAAUACAUUAGCAUGGAAUAAUAAAAUAGGACGGUGGUCCUGUUUUGUUGGUUUCUGAAUCACCGUAAUGAUUAAUAGGGAUAGUUGGGGGCAUUAGUAUUCAAUUGUCAGAGGUGAAAUUCUUGGAUUUAUUGAAGACUAACUUCUGCGAAAGCAUUUGCCAAGGAUGUUUUCAUUAAUCAAGAACGAAAGUUAGGGGAUCGAAGACGAUCAGAUACCGUCGUAGUCUUAACCAUAAACUAUGCCGACUAGGGAUCGGACGAUGUUAAUUUUUCUUGACUCGUUCGGCGCCUUACG
rnacentral:rRNA from 1 species